UACGUAGGGUGCGAGCGUUGUCCGGAAUUAUUGGGCGUAAAGAGCUCGUAGGCGGCUGUUCGAGUCGGGUGUGAAAUCCUGAGGCUUAACCUUGGGUCUGCAUUCGAUACUGGGCGGCUUGAGUCUGGUAGGGGGAUCUGGAAUUCCUGGUGUAGCGGUGGAAUGCGCAGAUAUCAGGAGGAACACCGGUGGCGAAGGCGGGUCUCUGGGCCGAUACUGACGCUGAGGAGCGAAAGCGUGGGGAGCGAACAGG
rnacentral:rRNA from 1 species